UGAAUUGAUGGUAGAUUAUAUUGUAAGUAGC
rnacentral:piRNA from 2 species